rnacentral:rRNA from 1 species
UUCGAUUCUGGCUCAGGAUGAACGCUAGCGGCAGGCUUAACACAUGCAAGUCAGGGGCAACGCGAGUAGCAAUACUUGGCGGCGACCGGCGCAAGGGUAGCGUAACGCGUGAGCAACGAUGCCCGUAUCAGGGGGAUAAGUCCAGGGAAACUUGGUCUAAUACCCCAUAGUAAUUUUGUAAGGCAUCUUAUAAGAUUUAAAGCUUUGGUGGAUACGGAUUGGCUCGCGUGACAUUAGCUGGAUGGUAAGGUAACGGCUUACCAUGGCUAUGAUGUCUAGGGGUUCUGAGAGGAGGGUCCCCCACACUGGAACUGAGACACGGUCCAGACUCCUACGGGAGGCAGCAGUGAGGAAUAUUGGACAAUGGAUGGAAAUCUGAUCCAGCCAUGCCGCGUGAAAGGAAGAAGGUCCUAUGGAUUGUAAACUUCUUUUGUAUGGGAGCAAUAAGGCCUACGAGUAGGUUGAUGAGAGUACCAUACGAAUAAGCACCGGCUAACUCCGUGCCAGCCGCCGC